AUUAUAGUGGUAAGAUAUAAACAACCUACCUGUUCAAGAGAGGGAGAAGGGUGAGGUUCUGGGGCAGCAGGCUUGGCUGUAGCAGGCUCAGCUGGUGAAGGUUCCUCUGCAGCUGGCUCCACUCCAACAGGUGCCUCUGCAGCAGGCUCAGCUGCAACAGGUGCCUCUGCAGCAGGCUCAGCUGCAACAGGGGCCCCUGCAGCAGGCUCAGCUGCUACAGGUGUGGCUGUAAGAGGUGCAGCUGCAGCAGGCUCAGCUGCAAUAGGAGGGACAAACGGGAAACCCCUAGGAGGGAGAGGAGGAACAUUCAACUGAGUAGCUAAGGGAAAACCACGGAUGUGAUAGACAUAGGGGAAUCCAGGAGA
rnacentral:lncRNA from 1 species